rnacentral:rRNA from 1 species
AGGGAAUAUUGGACAAUGGGCGAAAGCCUAAUCCAGCCAUGCCGCGUGAGUGAUGAAGGCCUUAGGGUUGUAAAGCUCUUUCGGCGGGGACGAUAAUGACGGUACCCGCAGAAGAAGCCCCGGCUAACUUCGUGCCAGCAGCCACGGUAAUACGAAGGGGGCUAGCGUUGUUCGGAAUCACUGGGCGUAAAGCGCAUGCAGGCGGAUCGCUAAGUCGGGGGUGAAAGCCCGAGGCUCAACCUCGGAACUGCCUUCGAUACUGACGAUCUUGAGUCCGGGAGAGGUGAGUGGAACUGCGAGUGUAGAGGUGAAAUUCGUGGAUAUUCGCAAGAACACCAGUGGCGAAGGCGGCUCACUGGCCCGGUACUGACGCUGAGAUGCGAAAGCGUGGGGAGCAAAC